rnacentral:other from 1 species
ACUAACCUACCUUGCGCGUGAGUUUUCUAAAGUUUUGAUCCUAUUAUAAUUUAGGGAACCGAAGUAAUUGUUUUGAGUACGCCAAGCCUUGAUCUGGCUUCACAAGCAAAGAAGGAAGGCGGAAAAAACAUUCAGGUUCCCACCUUGCGAGAGCAGGGUCAUGAAACUUGGAACCUUACGGCUAGGCGGGAGCUCU